rnacentral:rRNA from 1 species
CACGUAGGGGGCGAGCGUUGUCCGGAUUCAUUGGGCGUAAAGGGUGCGUAGGCGGCGCGGUAAGUCGGGUGUGAAAUCUCGGGGCUUAACUCCGAAACUGCAUUCGAUACUGCCGUGCUUGAGGACUGGAGAGGAGACUGGAAUUUACGGUGUAGCGGUGAAAUGCGUAGAUAUCGUAAGGAAGACCAGUGGCGAAGGCGGGUCUCUGGACAGUUCCUGACGCUGAGGCACGAAGGCCAGGGGAGCAAGCGGG